rnacentral:rRNA from 1 species
AGCAGCCGCGGUAAUUCCAGCUCCAAUAGCGUAUAUUAAAGUUGCUGCAGUUAAAAAGCUCGUAGUUGAAUUUCGGGACCAAUAUGUCGGUCGUGCCUCGGUACGUACUGGCAUCGUUGGUUUCUCCCUUCUGACGAACCAUGAUGUCAUUUAUUUGGUGUCGUGGGGAAUCAGGACUGUUACUUUGAAAAAUUAGAGUGUUUAAAGCAGGCUCACGCUUGAAUACAUUAGCAUGGAAUAAUGAAAUAGGACGUUUGAUUCUAUUUUGUUGGUUUCUAGGAUCGACGUAAUGAUUAAUAGGGAUAGUUGGGGGCAUUAGUAUUCAAUUGUCAGAGGUGAAAUUCUUGGAUUUAUUGAAGACUAACUACUGCGAAAGCAUUUGCCAAGGAUGUUUUCAUUAAUCAAGAACGAAAGUUAGGGGAUCGAAGACGAUCAGAUACCGUCGUAGUCUUAACCAUAAACUAUGCCGACUAGGGGUCGGAUGAUGUUAAUUUUUAAUGACUCAUUCGGCGCCUUAAC